rnacentral:rRNA from 1 species
UACGUAGGUGGCAAGCGAUACUCGGAAUCACUAGGCGUAAAGCGCAGGUAGGUGGUUUGAUAAGUCUUUUGUGAAAGCUCCCGGCUUAACUGGGAGAGGCCAAGGGAAACUGUCAGACUAGAGUUUGGUAGGGGAUACUGGAAUUCCUGGUGUAGCGGUGAAAUGCGUAGAUAUCAGGAGGAACACCGGUGGCGAAGGCGGGUCUCUGGGCCGAUACUGACGCUGAGGAGCGAAAGCGUGGGGAGCGAACAGG